GACGAACGCUGGCGGCGUGCUUAACACAUGCAAGUCGAGCGGUGCGGCGAACGGGUGAGUAACGCGUGAGUAACUGCCCCCCUCCCUGGGAUAACAGUUGGAAACGGCUGCUAAUACCGGAUAGUGGGGGAUGACUCGCGGCCUAUCAGCUUGUUGGUGGGGUAGUGGCCGACCAAGGCGACGACGGGUAGCCGGCCUGAGAGGGCGACCGGCCACAUGGGGCUGGGAUACGCACCAAACUGCUACGGGGGGCAGCAGUGGGGAGUAUGGCACAAUGGGGGAAACCCUGAUGCAGCAGCGCCGCGGGCGUGAUGACGUCCUUCGGGUUGUAAACCGCUUUCAGCCAUGACGCGGUAGUGGCAGAAGAAGCACCGGCUAACUACGUGCCAGCAGCCGCGGUAAUAC
rnacentral:rRNA from 1 species